rnacentral:rRNA from 1 species
GAUGAACGCUGGCGGCGUGCCUAAUACAUGCAAGUCGAGCGAACAGACGAGGAGCUUGCUCCUCUGACGUUAGCGGCGGACGGGUGAGUAACACGUGGAUAACCUACCUAUAAGACUGGGAUAACUUCGGGAAACCGGAGCUAAUACCGGAUAAUAUAUUGAACCGCAUGGUUCAAUAGUGAAAGACGGUUUUGCUGUCACUUAUAGAUGGAUCCGCGCCGCAUUAGCUAGUUGGUAAGGUAACGGCUUACCAAGGCAACGAUGCGUAGCCGACCUGAGAGGAGGAGGAGGCAAACGGGAACUGAGACACGGGCCAUACCCGUAGGGGAGGCAGCAGUGGGGAAUAUUGGACAAUGGGCGAAAGACUGAUGCAGCAACACAGCGUGUGUGAAGAAGGCCUUAGGGAUUGAAAGCACUGAUGUUGGGAAAGAAAAGGAGCAGAGGAAAAAACCGCGGUGCUGACGGGACCCAAAGAGGAAGCAACGGCUAACUUCGUG